AUUGAACGCUGGCGGCAGGCCUAACACAUGCAAGUCGAACGAGUGGCGGACGGGUGAGUAAUGUCUGGGAAACUGCCCGAUGGAUGGGGAUAACUACUGGAAACGGUAGCUAAUACCGCAUACCAUCGGAUGUGCCCAGAUGGGAUUAGCUAGUAGGUGGGGUAACGGCUCACCUAGGCGACGAUCCCUAGCUGGUCUGAGAGGAUGACCAGCCACACUGGAACUGAGCCACGGUCCAGACUCCUACGGGAGGCAGCAGUGGGGAAUAUUGCACAAUGGGCGCAAGCCUGAUGCAGCCAUGCAGCGUGUAUGAAGAAGGCCCUCGGGUUGUAAAGUACUUUAAGCGGGGAGGCGGUACCCGCAGAAGAAGCACCGGCUAACUCCGUGCCAGCAGCCGCGGUAAUAC
rnacentral:rRNA from 1 species